rnacentral:sRNA from 1 species
GCCAGGCAUGGUGGAGCAUGCCUGUAAUCCCAGCAGUUUGGGAGGUUUAGUCAGGAGGAUCAUGAGUUCAAAGACAACCUCAGCAAUGGUGAGGCACUCAGUGAGACCCUGUCUCUAAAUAAGCAACUCAGUGAGACCCUGUCUUUA